AGUGAACGCUGGCGGUAGGCCUAACACAUGCCAGUCGAACGGCAGCACAGUAAGAGCUUGCUCUUACGGGUGGCGAGUGGCGGACGGGUGAGGAAUACAUCGGAAUCUACUUUUUCGUGGGGGAUAACGUAGGGAAACUUACGCUAAUACCGCAUACGACCUACGGGUGAAAGCAGGGGAUCUUCUGACCUUGCGCGAUUGAAUGAGCCGAUGUCGGAUUCGCUAGUUGGCGGGGUAAAGGCCCACCAAGGCGACGAUCCGUAGCUGGUCUGAGAGGAUGUUCAGCAAAACUGGAGAUGAGAAGAGGACAAGAAUCCUAGGGGAGGAAGAAGUGGGGAAUAGUGGAAAAUGGGCGAAAGACUGAUCCAGCCAUAGCGCGUGGGUGAAGAAGGCCUUCGGGUUGUAAAGCCCUUUUGUUGGGAAAGAAAAGCAGCAGGUUAAUACCCCGCUGUUCGGACGGUACCAAAAGAAUAAGCACCGGCUAACAUCGU
rnacentral:rRNA from 1 species